rnacentral:lncRNA from 1 species
GCCGGGAGCGCCUGCCCCGGCAUCGGCGGCACGCUGUACCGCGCGCACGGGGCCAGCUGGCUCAGCUGCGCCCCGCAGGUGCCGCGCGGCGGCUGCGCCUUGGCCGCGCCGCCCAGGGUCACCAGCAGCAGGACCAGGAGGGCCGCCUGGCCCGUGGUCGCCGCCAUCGUCGUCGUCGCCGGCGGCUCGGUGCGCGCGCUGCGAGCUUGAGAGACGGAAAUGAGUUCCUGUGUGUGUGGUUGGCGGUGUGGUGGUGGUGCGGGAGCGCGUGGUUUUAUAGGUGGGGCGACGGAGGUGGGAGGCGGCGAGUCUUGCGUUGCUCACCUACGCUACGCAGGCAGCGGGCGGUGCUCGGAUCGGCGCCGGGCGGGAGGAGCGGGCCACGGCAAGCGUGUGAGGCACUGAGGCUGACCCGACCCAACUAAUAAGCCCAGCUCGGAGACCCGCUUCGUCCGUUUGAUCAUCGGGACAAAAAAACUUGGUUCAACGUAGAGACAUGUUUGGACCGGUGUCCUUUCACUAUCCGCGCCGAUCCAAUCUUUGACGAAUACCAGCAAACAUGUCUGUGUGUUACAGCAGGAGAAAAAAAAAUCAUCCCUAAUAGGCACUGGCCGAUACCAGUAAAUCCCUUGAAAUCUCCACACAACAAACAAUAUGAUAAGUGACGUUGCGUUAAACGUAAUGGUGGAUGAUUUUUGAAGUGUAUUCAAGGUGCUUUAAAAAAAAGUUAUGGACAUAAUUAAAUUUUUUGGAAAUUAACAUUAAGCCACUUGUUUACAUAAAGCUCAAAUCAUCAAUUUAGUGUACAACAUCGUAUAUUGGUUGGUUAUAUUGUGCAUGAUGUGAAAUAGGAUGACCGUGUACCUAUUGUAACCUUUAGCAUACAAAGUAGCUAGUAGAAAUCAACAUCCGCUAUGGUGCCAAUACUAUCUUUUACGAGAGUAUUAAACUAUCGUAUCUAUUCAAGUUAAAUGGAAUAAAAAAAAUAUGUAAUAGGCAUUUUCAAAAUACCCAAUAUAGAGAAGGUAUUAAUCAAGGUUGCAACAUAUAUUUUAUUUUAAAAAUGAGUAACAUGUAAGAUAAGAGUAUAUUUGAAAUCUACAUAUUCUUUUGAACAAUUAUCAUAUAUAACAUGUUAGAUUUGGAAUUAGGGUUUGAAAGAUAUGAAUAUCCUAAAAAGCAUUUGAAUUAGAAAAAAUAGCAUUUGAAUUAGAAAAAAUGAAAAAGGGGUAGCUGUUUUGAUGUGUUUAAUUUGGGACCGCACUGUAUAUAAACCGAAGUAAACGCCCCAUGUAGCAAAUUGAACUGUUUUUUUGUUUAUGAACGAUAUGAUGGGUAAUUUGUGUUAACUUUGGGAUAGUUCUAAUGACGAACUUGGCAGAAACAAUAACCUUUUUAUUAGUACGCAUAGAUGGGCUAGAAUGGGUUUCAAACAAACAGAAACGGACACUCCCGUCGUUUGCUGGUGCUCGCUUGUGUCCACCCUGGUCCCAAAGACCAGCGACCGCACCAGCCGGGGCUUUGCCUCCAUAAUGACGUGCACCGGCGCAUGCCACCUCUCUUUUUGAGUCAGUCGUUGUGUUAGGAUCUUGCCGGCGGGCCCGCGGCGCCGAUGAUUGGCCGAUCGUGGCCGCCAGACGCCACGUCGGGGUCCGACCACACAAGGGGGAGGAGCGGGGCACGACGAUUACCUCGCCAUGGAGGAAGGGGCGGGGCACAUAUAAAGGAUGGACGCGUUGAUGCGGAGGGAGAGGGUCAUGAACUUCGAAAACAUUUUUCUGUGCAAAUAAAUAUUGAAAAGGUACACAAUUUAUGAAAUGCAUGAAUAUUUUAUAAAGUGUGAGCACUUUUAGAAAAUUCUGAAUACUUUGAAAACCAAUCAAUUUUGAUAAAACGAUAACACUUUCUGAAACAUAUAUUUUAAAUCUAGAACAACAAAUUUAAAGUGCGAACAUUCUUUGAAAAUUAAAAAAAUGGUAACAAAAUUUGAAACCUGAGCAAACGUGUAAAGAAAUGUUUUUGACAUCUAAAAAAUAUCACAAGUUUAGAGAAAUGUACAUGGCAUUUCAAAAAAAUGUAUGUAUAAUGUAAAUAAUAUCCGUGUAAUUCUAACAAAUGUUUCUUCCAUUCAAAAAGAUGCAACAUUUCAAGAAUGUUCAAGAGUUUCAAAACAUGUGCUUGUAACAUUUUUAGAAAGAAGUGUAUACAAUGUAAAAAAGUUAGCGUGACGUAAAUAAUGUGUCAUACCCUUAGAAAAUUAUACCCGACAUGUGUUUGAAAUUUUAUAAAUGUGUAACAAUGUAAAAAAAUGUUUGUAUAGUUUUACAAGAUGUCUGUAUAGUUUUAUAAAUGUCUAUCGUCGUUAAGAAAUAAAAAAAUAUAUUUGAAAAAUAUUACUGUGUAUUCAUUUCUUUAAACAUGUAUCUAAAAAGAUAUAAAUAAAGUAUCAAAAAAUAUUUGUGCUAAAAAUUUGCAAUGUGUACUGACAAUAAUUAGACAUGUGUAAAAUAUAUAAUUGGUUACCGUACAGAAACAAAACAAAAGCGAAAAAAAAGAAAACACUAUGAAGAAAAUCAAGAAAGAAACAAAAGAAAUCAAAAGUAUAACGAGAAAGUAAAACCAGAUAAUGCCAGUGAAAAAAUAAAGCAUAACGAACAAAAAAUCAAAGAAAAAAAAGAAAACAAGACCAGCACGAGAGACUGUGCCAAUGGGCUGGCGCAGUUCAGCGAAUACCGGCUAAAUUCUAUCAACGUUUAAAAUAGACCGGGAUCAAGGAUUUUGGUUUGCUGAUUCCAGGAAUUAAGAGUUCAGAGUUUGAUUUAG